AGUGAACGCUGGCGGUAGGCCUAACACAUGCAAGUCGAACGGCAGCACAGUAAGAGCUUGCCCUUACGGGUGGCGAGUGGCGGACGGGUGAGGAAUACAUCGGAAUCUACUUUUUCGUGGGGGAUAACGUAGGGAAACUUACGCUAAUACCGCAUACGACCUACGGGUGAAAGCAGGGGAUCUUCGGACCUUGCGCGAUUGAAUGAGCCGAUGUCGGAUUAGCUAGUUGGCGGGGUAAAGGCCCACCAAGGCGACGAUCCGUAGCUGGUCUGAGAGGAUGAUCAGCCACACUGGAACUGAGACACGGUCCAGACUCCUACGGGAGGCAGCAGUGGGGAAUAUUGGACAAUGGGCGCAAGCCUGAUCCAGCCAUACCGCGUGGGUGAAGAAGGCCUUCGGGUUGUAAAGCCCUUUUGUUGGGAAAGAAAAGCAGCAGGUUAAUACCCCGCUGUCCUGACGGUACCCAAAGAAUAAGCACCGGCUAACUUCGUG
rnacentral:rRNA from 1 species